rnacentral:rRNA from 1 species
CCUACGGGAGGCAGCAGUAAGGAAUAUUGGUCAAUGGACGAAAGUCUGAACCAGCCAUGCCGCGUGAAGGAUUAAGGCCCUCUGGGUUGUAAACUUCUUUUAUCUGGGACGAAAAAAGGGUAUUCUUACUCACUUGACGGUACCAGAGGAAUAAGCACCGGCUAACUCCGUGCCAGCAGCCGCGGUAAUACGGAGGGUGCAGGCGUUAUCCGGAUUUACUGGGUUUAAAGGGUGCGUAGGUGGGUUGGUAAGUCAGUGGUGAAAUCUCCGAGCUUAACUUGGAAACUGCCAUUGAUACUAUCAGUCUUGAAUAUUGUGGAGGUUAGCGGAAUAUGUCAUGUAGCGGUGAAAUGCUUAGAUAUGACAUAGAACACCAAUUGCGAAGGCAGCUGGCUACGCAUAUAUUGACACUGAGGCACGAAAGCGUGGGGAUCAAACAGGAUUAGAUACCCUGGUAGUCCACGCCCUAAACUAUGGAUACUCGACAUUUGCGAUACACUGUAAGUGUCUGAGCGAAAGCAUUAAGUAUCCCACCUGGGAAGUACGAUCGCAAGAUUGAAACUCAAAGGAAUUGACGG